UACAUGAUCAGGGUAAAUAGUAACCUUGAAAUGAUAACUAUUAAGUUUAAAACAAUAAGCACUAAAUUUAUACAAAUAAGCAACAAAAGUUCGGUAAUAUAAUGGUCAGGUCAAGGAUGCUUCACAACAAAUAGCAAUACAGAAGGGUAAGAAAAAGUUAGUAAGGAAUAAACAUUUAGUGUUGAGUAAUAAACACUAACAUAGAGUUAAUAAAUACUUGUGGUCUAUGAGACAAGCACAAAAUGUGAGAUCUGAUUCUGUGACUUCCUGCUGGUAGAUUUGAGUAAACAUUUAGCACGAAGCAGCGAUAAAUAUAUGCACGAUCAAGAUAACGGUAACCUUGAAAUAAUAAACAUUAAGUGGUUGGUUUGGCCGGAAGCAAUUAGUCAUUAUGGAAGCCCAUUAGUUUAUGUCAUUCAAGUCGAACCAUUUGUACAUACGCUAUCGUAUCUCAGAGAUCAAGAUUCUUAUUUUUAUGGACGCCCACAUUAGGGCUCCUGUCUUUAUUAUAUUUUUUAUAUUUUUUUAAUUUGGCGGGAUGCACUUAUGCUAGAGUUAUAUAAAUUAUUGUUAGAAGAAGAAGAAGAAGAAGAAGAAGAAGAAGAAAGAAAGAAAAAAAAGAAAAGAAGAGGAAGAAGAAAACUUAACGAAAAGAAACAAACUUAAGAGAAUGGCCGUCUUCCUCUGCUUUACGGACGCCAAAAGCAUUGGACUCAUAAAAGCGAACUCCCAUUCCUCCCUCGCCCCUUCUGUGGUCUGAUAGCGCUCCACGUAGGCGUGUGGGGGUAUCCAGUUUACCCUUUCGCGUCCCCUAAACGCCCACCUGAGCCUAGCGGAGAAGAAGAGACCCCGGUGGAUGGCGGCCAGCGGCGGCGGCGGCGGAAUCCGGCCGGAGCUCGGCGGCCGGAUUGCCCCGAGGGAGUGCGAGUCCUGCCGAUCUGUCCCCGGCAUCCCCUUCUGCCGCGUCGAGUGGUCCUUCCUCUGCACCGGCUGCGCCGCCCUCGUCCACGGCCACAACUGGAUCGUUGCCGUCCCCCCAAACCCCAACCCUAACCCCAAUUCCAACGCCUAUCCCUGCCCGUACGCCAACCCUCACCACGUCGUGCAGCUGUGGUCCGAUGAGGAGGCCCCCUCCGCCGGUGAUCCUGAUGACGGCGCCAACGGGGCGGCCGGCUCCAGCUACGGCGGGGGAAAGCGGAGGCGGCGGUCGGCCGGCUUUGCGGCGACCGGUGGGCCGGUGGCGAGCGUGAUGAGGCGCAAGGAGAAGCGGAAGAGCCGCAAGUUCGAGAAGACGGUCAGCUACGAGACCCGGAAGGUGUAUUUGGACCUGAGGCCCCGAGUCGACGGGAAGUUCACCAGGCCGGACUCCGGUGGCGACGAGGCGAGGCCGGACUCCGGCAAGGAGGCGAGGGCCGAUACCAGUGAAGCCGGGGGAAAGGCCAGAUGCUAACGAGCAGCUGAGGUCGGAUGCGAGCGAGGUGGUGAGGUUGAAUUCGAGCGACGAGGUGGGGCUGCCGGAGGCGGGAGAAGAGGAAUUGAGGCAGUUGGAUGCUGUUGAUGAACUGAGGUUGGAGGGAUACUGAUGGCGGGUCUUGGGUUGAUCAACACUAUCUGGGCUGGUUUGUUCAACAGAAAUUUUUUCCAAGAGAGGUUAAGUGGCUUGGAGGCAGUUCCAUGUGCCUCCUCUUAAGGAGCUCCAUUGAUAUAUCUGGUGUUCUUGUAUCAUUUCAGUCAUUGCCUAGUUAAAAGACCUUCUACCCAUCAUUAAAUGCUCUCAAGCAAAAUGUCUAGCCUCUUUGCUGGAGAAUUAGCAGGUCUGUUAGCUUCUUUAUGAACUUGCCUCUAUAUAAACUGUUCGAACCUGUAUUUUUUUUUUUAGUUUAAUUUGUUUGAGAAACAAAAUGUAAUGAGAGGGGAAAAGAAGGAAACAAUCUAAUGAAUGGAAGCCUGGCAGCAACCUAAAACUCAUGUCAACUGAUCGUAGAACUCGUAAGGCCUGGUCCUAAUAUGGAAACCUAAUUAGUGUUUCAGCAUCAGGUGCUUGGUUGACGUGCUAUCUUUAUUUGCUGAAUGAUACUGAUACUGAUUCUCUAGAAUGAGCUGAUGUCGAUGCUAAUUGUAAUACUAUAUUUAAUGAUGAACACGGCUGCCUCUCACUAGAAAGCAUGUUAUUUAAUGGCUGCCUAAUCCCGAACUAGACUUUUUGGUUU